UUCACUCCCACCAUUUGGCACCUCUCCGCCAAUCCCAACGGCACUUCCACUACCGUAUCGCAGGGCUUCACUCCCUGCUCGCUAACCUCAAUUGCUGGCUAUCAACUUGACUUCCAGUAACCCUACGGCGAAACUUUAUUUCCAUUCAAUUUUCAAACCCUCCUCUUGCGUGAGCAUACACCACAGCCAUCGUGUCUUAUCAAUUAUUGAAAGCCGCUUCGUUCCACAAUCAAAUUGGUUCCAUGAAUUAUUAUACCGGUAAUUAUGGAACCCUUAACUAGAGGAAUUUAUGUACGGCCCUGGCGCACGAAUCGAUGCUGCCGUCGGAGGUUUGUAAACGAACGAGGAAGGGCUGGAAUCAUCGCAGCGGUGGGGGAGCGCAAGUGAAAGAGAUCGGCUUUGGUUAGGAGAGGAACGGGCUCGUUGACCAAUCACAGUGCAGAAUGAGCUCCUGGUAUCCGGCACGUCACUUCCUAGGAUGCCUACGCGCUCUUUUGCAGAAAAUCAAUAAAGCGUGGGACCAUCUCGCGCGGAAUUUGGCUCUCGCCUCUAGCAUCGCACCACGUCGUCACUCAGCUGGCUUCGAAUACACGUUCCGAAUCUCGGAACACGAUAACCUCCAAUGUUUACGUAGACAGAACUCAACAAAAAUAGUUCAAGCAGAAACCAAUUCGCGAAGCUGCGCGAGAAGAACUUUGGAGCGGGGUUACUUCAGAUUCUCAAAUUGAAGGAGGCGAAUCUUUGUUUUUAAUACUGGAAUCGUGAUCGCGAAAGAGCGAAUCGAUUCUUAAUGCAUGACAAAUAAAAAUCACGAAGCUACCGAAAGUGACAAACGAAGGAUACAAAUGCCGCUUGUACAUUUUUUUUCUCAUUUUUUUUUGUUCUCUCAUUGGAAGUUUGCUGAUCCGCGUUAGUCCGGCAAAGAGAAAUUUUGUAUGUUUCCUAAAUUUUGGAAUUUUUUAAAAUGCCUGAAGGAGGAAAUAAGAAUUUGAGGCUGCGAGAUGUAUGGCGGACCUGUAACAAGAUACGUGCGGCCAUUUUUCGUGUGGGCCUUAACCUCUGGGACUAUUAUAGACCCUUAGACCCGAACAAAAAUAGCCUCAUUUCAGAAUCAAAAUUCGUUUCUGUUUUGGCGGGACCGUUGAGAGGACCCAUUGGCUUGUCAGAUCAGGAAAUCGGGGACUUGGCUGAUUACUUUCGACUACAGGAUGGACGAAUAUUGUAUAGUCAAUUCUGCGAAGUUAUCCACGAUAGCGUUCCUGACUUUGGAAAAAACAAGCCAUUGACUACUGGUUUGGAAUGGGAAGAUCCUCUACAUGUUAAUCGUUUGAGUACUACUGAACACAGGAAGUUGGAUAUAAUUAUUACAAAAAUUGCUGUUCUUAUUAACAAAAGAAAACUUGUGCUCAGACCAUACUUUCAAGACUAUGAAAUUAUAGCAAAGAACGCUGGAACAGUUACAAUAGCUCAUUUUGGUCGAAUAUUGCAUUUUUUGAGAAUUGUUUUGGCUGCCGAUGAAUUCAAUCUUCUGGUGAAGAGAUAUGCUAAGGAUGGCUGCACUGUCAAUUAUGUAGCUUUUGUCAAGACUAUAGAUGAGGCUCAAAAUUAUAUGGAUCAACAUGGCAUGCUUGAUUUGGGUGGAGAUCUUCUCAAUCAAUUUCCUGGAAGAGUGAUCACUGCGGAGUUACCAAAACUCCCUAGACCUGAAAUUGGUAAAGUGCUUCCUAGUAAAGUGUUUGGCAAGCAAUCAGUAUUCCACCCAGCAAUAAAAGAAAACAGAGAUUUAAUGCCCCUUUUGGAAGUAAUUCAGCGAAUCCAGAGACACAUAUUAGAGAAUCGCAUUCGAAUCCAUGAAUUCUUUAAGGAGUUUGAUCAUUUGAAUGUGGGACGAGUGACUAUUUCUCAAUUUAGGAGAGGUAUCGAUGCUCUUCAAGUAUCGUCUCUAGGGCGACUGUAUCUUGCUGAAGCUGAAAUCAAUGGAAUAAUUACUCUGUACAAGGAUCCAAAUAAUCCAGAUCGUGUGUGCUGGAGAACGUUUGAAGACGAUAUAGAUCAUGUUUUCACGGUAAAGGAACUGGACAAACUACCCAACUUAAGGAUAGAAUCACCACCUCGAGAGAUUACAGAAUUGUGUCGAAGAGGUCAAUCAGAUUGGCAACACGAGGAGAAGAGUUUGCGAGAACUCUGUGAAGAUUCUUUACAGAAAGUAAAACAUAGAAUCAACGAACGUGGAUUAAUAUUGAAGCAAUUUUUCAAAGAAUAUGACAAGCAUAAUCAUGGUCACGUAUCAAGGACACAAAUGAGACAAGUUCUGACGACCUCUGGAGUUCUUUUAUCUACGCAAGAGGUGUUUGCUCUUGAACAAAGAUACAAUGAUGACAUAGGAUUCAAUUACGUCUACUUCAUUGAGGAACUGGAAUCUCUACCAGUUACAGAGCCUUUGUACUUUUCAAUGCUCGAAGAGAAAAAAAUAAUUAAUGCAGAAAAGUUGCCCGCAGAACCAACCGAGGAGGAAACAAAUAUUGUUACCAUAUUGGCUAAAAUUAAGGCUAAAAUUGUUCGCGAGAGAGUUAAAGUUACACAAUUCAUGCGCCCUUUUGACACACUUAACAAACAAGUGAUUAGUAGGGCAGAUUUUAUUCGAGGUCUUGAUCAGAUUAGGUGUAACCUAACGUGCACAGAAAUGGCUACAAUAAUGGAAGUUUUUCGUGCUCCGUUAAGGCCACAAUUCAUCGAGUACGUAAGAUUCGGAGAUGCUAUUGAAGAAGCUGUGGCCACUUCGUGUCUAGAAAGAGCCCCGCUUUUGAUUCCUGUACAACAUAUACCUUCAGAAUCUUGUAGCAGGAAUUUUUUGAAUUUUGAAGAAAGACACACCCUCGGCCAAGCAAUGGAUAAACUCAGUGUAUCCAUGAAUUCCAACUUGCAGGAAAUUUUUACGAAUAAUAAAAAGGAAGACGAACAGGACCCGGAUGCCUGGGAAUCUUGUGAAUAUACAACACUGGCUAUUUCGAUCCUGAAUUUAAGCGUUCCUUUAGGAAUUUGCAUUGGAUUGUUCCAAGUCAGAGAAUGUUUAUCGACCCACAGUCUUCUCCUCAAUUCGGACCUGCGAAUUUCCCACUGGUAAUUGGACAACGCAGAAAAUGCCCAGGGUGAGCGUUCACAGACGAUGUUAGCAGCCCGAUUACGUCCCGUCCUGACUCAAGACUUGUGAAGCUGCACGCAAAAGAGCCACUGGGGAAUUGAGGUCUUUCUUGGGAUCGAUACUUGUUACCAGCCGUUGACAUUCUCGGCCAGGAACAAGAAAAUCUUGAUAAAUUCCCAAAAAAGUCCAAAAUCGACCUAGGGAUCCAGGAAGAUUUUCCUUCUUACUUCUUUUAGGAUUUCUGAAUAAUCCUGAUGAUGUUGAGUUAAUGCAGAGCUGGUUGGAAGAGAACGAGACACGCUUCAUUUAAAAGACGGAAGGUCCCUCCUCGCACGUGGCCAUUGUUCACCAACUUCACCUGACACGUGGCGAAAUUCAAUGCGCGUAUUCCAUCCAUCCGCGAGAGAGCCGCUUCUGCUUGACUUUUGACACCGGUUCGUCACGCUAAUCGGAGCCUCAAUCCGACACGUAACGACCCACUUGCAAGGUGGUGCCCAAAGCCACUAGAUAAUAUGCUGGACUCUGGAUUGUUUUAUCUAAACAGAGAUUUCACGUGUAAAAUCGAAGAUACAUAUAUGCCGUUUAUGGUAUCGUCGAACUCUUCAUGGAUGCCACUCCAUGCUCCUCUAGUUCUUUCGUGAGUUUAAUUCACCGCAAAAAGCAUCUCCUCGACAAGGACGAGGACGAUGACGUCGUUGUUCGUGGAUUGUCAAGAGUGGGUCAAGUGAUAUCGACCCGUGAGAACACGGGGACAAGGGUGGGACUAUGAUCUACCUAUGUCUUUGCUUCACGUCCUACACAUAUGCCCUUGGUGAUGGGUUUCAGCUUAGCUGCCAAAGGACACGGGUAUUGCUAGGACGAUAAAUUGGAUAAUGACUCUCUUGGGGAUCAAAUGCGUUUCUGUUAAUAGAUAUUGGUCGAUGGUACCUUUUCGCUUUGAACUGGUUGGCUCGCUGGGUUUAAUUGUUUGCGAAAGACAUUAUAGAUUGGACUGUCAAAGUUCGUUAAGGUAUCAGAAUCAAUUCUUGUAGACACUAUGAUAUUUCUUGAGCCAUCGUCCACUGUCUCUCUAAUGUAAUUAUUUAUGUGCAGAAAUUUGUAUAAAAGUAAAAAAAAAUGGUAGCACAAGUUUUCCACACUAGUUGUUACGUGCAACGCUUUCGUACGUGCAUAGACGAUGUUAUUAAUAAUCACCAUGAAAUUGAAGCACGAACUCCCAUCGAGGCCAAAGCAAGCUCAGAUGGGUUAAUUAAAGUUCAUUAGCCAAAAUAAAUUAAUAAUCUUCCCCGG